rnacentral:ncRNA from 1 species
GUGUUGUAUGAAAGGAGAGAAGGUUAGCACUCCCCUUGAUAAGGAUGGAAGAGGUCCUAGUGGCCUGUACAACACACAUACGGUUAAGGCACUGCCACCUACUUCGUGGCAUCUAACCUGAGACUAUU